AAAAUUUUAAGUUAAAAUAAACUUUAAACUUUCAAAGUUUAUAAUAUAAAAAUUUAUUUAUAAAUUUUA
rnacentral:tRNA from 1 species